GGGGUAUGGCGGAAUUGGUAGACGCUACGGACUUAAAAUCCGUUGGCUUUAUUGACCGUGAGGGUUCAAGUCCCUCUACCCCCAA
rnacentral:tRNA from 2 species